GCCCUUGUAGCUCAGUCGGCAGAGCGCAUCCUUGGUAAGGAUGAGGUCGGCGGUUCGAAUCCGCUCGGGGGCUCCA
rnacentral:tRNA from 1 species